rnacentral:rRNA from 1 species
GGUGAACGCUAGCUACAGGCUUAACACAUGCAAGUCGAGGGGCAGCACAGAGUGGCAACACUUGGGUGGCGACCGGCGCACGGGUGAGUAACACGUAUCCAACCUGUCCCAUACUCGGGGAUAGCCUUCGUAAAGAAAGAUUAAUACCGACUGGUAUCAGAUUAAGGCAUCUUGAUUUGUAUUAAAGUAGAUUCGGUAUGGGGUGGGGAGUGCGUUCCAUUAGCUUGUUGGCGGGGUAACGGCCCACCAAGGCAACGAUGGAUAGGGGUUCUGAGAGGAAGGUCCCCCCACAUUGGAACUGAGACACGGGUCCAAACUCCUACGGGAGGGCAGCAGUGAGGAAUAUUGGGUCAAUGGGACGAGAGUCUGAACCAGCCAAGUAGCGUGAAGGGAUGACUGCCCU